AGCUUGACCCCAUGGCCUUCGACAUCCUCAUAGGACCGGUUUGUGACAAACAGCACUGGACACUUGUGGUUAUUUAUCCAAAGGAGAAGCGGGUGCUUUACCUUGAUCCUUUAGGUGAAACUCCGGAUCACCUAAAUAAAUGCAAGGAUGUGACAAGAGCUUUCAUGAGACAUAGAAAUGUGCAUAUUUCUCGGUGGACUUGUUGUACACUAAGCCAUCCAAAACAACAGGACUCAACCUCCUGUGGGGCCCUUGUCUGCAAGUUUGCAGAGCUAAUUCUUAGUGGUGGUCUGAUAGAUUUCUCUACUGACGAGGCUUCCAUUACACAGUUGAGGAGAGAAAUAGCAUGUAGACUGGUCUCUGACUCAAAAAACCUGACAGAUAUAUACAGGGCAUGUGGGAAUGCACAGCAAAGUCCAGGGUCAAAGAGAGAUGGGCAUGAUAACUG